rnacentral:rRNA from 1 species
CCUACGGGAGGCAGCAGUGGGGAAUUUUGGACAAUGGGCGAAAGCCUGAUCCAGCAAUGCCGCGUGAGUGAAGAAGGCCUUCGGGUUGUAAAGCUCUUUUGUCAGGGAAGAAACGGUGGGAGCUAAUAUCUCCUGCUAAUGACGGUACCUGAAGAAUAAGCACCGGCUAACUACGUGCCAGCAGCCGCGGUAAUACGUAGGGUGCAAGCGUUAAUCGGAAUUACUGGGCGUAAAGCGUGCGCAGGCGGUUUUUGUAAGUCUGAUGUGAAAUCCCCGGGCUCAACCUGGGAAUUGCAUUGGAGACUGCAAGGCUAGAAUCUGGCAGAGGGGGGUAGAAUUCCACGUGUAGCAGUGAAAUGCGUAGAUAUGUGGAGGAACACCGAUGGCGAAGGCAGCCCCCUGGGUCAAGAUUGACGCUCAUGCACGAAAGCGUGGGGAGCAAACAGGAUUAGAUACCCUGGUAGUCCACGCCCUAAACGAUGUCUACUAGUUGUCGGGUCUUAAUUGACUUGGUAACGCAGCUAACGCGUGAAGUAGACCGCCUGGGGAGUACGGUCGCAAGNUUAAAACCUUAAAGGAAUUGACCGGNUGAGAGNGCGACGACGACGACGAGGGAGGAGG